rnacentral:lncRNA from 1 species
AUUCUUCUGGAGGAGGAUCCUUGAUCUCACUCUCGAGGGUUGAUGAUUGGAUAACCAAGCUUCAUCUUCCGUUGCAACAGGGCCCCCUUGCUAUUGGUUUGGAAGGAUAAUAGACUCAAUGACAUGGAGUACUUUAAGGACCUGCAAAGAAAUAGAGAUUAGAGGUUUGGCGUGAGAGAGGAAUGGAAAUCACAAAAGAAAAGGGAGGCGAGAGGAAAUAUGGCUGCGGUGGAUGUGGAAGUGGCUUUAGGGCCUCACGCCCAACUUGGAACAAGGACCUCACGCCCAACCUUCUGUCAAGGUGACAAAGCAAGAUUGCUAAGGAAGAAAGAAGCUCUUUUUAUUCAUUCAUCAACUGCCAUUACAAGAUGUCAUGAGGAGGUAUUUAGAGACUUUCCUCAUGAUUUGAAAUUUAAACACAUAAUGAAUGGCGCCCCACAUUUGAAGGCUUGAUUGCUAGAGAAAAGAAAGAAAAGUUGGUCGGCUUUAAGGGGGAGGUUUGAAGAGUUGUUGGCUCCCUUUUGAAAUUUUUUUGCAUUUGAAUUGUGGCCGACCUCUUGGAUUUUGAAUUUGGAUGACGUGUCAACUUGUAUGAGGUGGCAUGGUGAUUGGUUCUUUUGAUUUUAAUUCUUCCAUUUGGCAUUAUACUCUUGGUUGAGAUGAUUGCUGAUAUGGUGUUGAGGUGGCGUCUGGUUGAGAUGAUUGCUGAUGUGGUGUUGAGGUGGCGUCCCAAUAGGUGGCACAUAGCAUGUUGCAUAGGGAUUGGUUCUUCUGAUGAGGUGGUAUGACGUUGCAUUGGUUCCUUUGAUGAGAUGACAUGAUGUGGUCGGCUUCUUAUGCUUGACUUCAUCCUAGUUGGCGUGCUUCCAUUGGUUGGAGUGGUGGUGAGGUGGCUAGCUGAUGUUGAUGUGGAUGCCGAGGUGGUGCUCCAAGGGUGUGCAAAAGGUGGUGGUAGAAACCUGAUAUGGCUUGCUUUCUGACUCAAUGAUUUUAUUUACAGGACUUGAUCAAAUUUAAGUUAGCCACAGUGACCUUGAGUUAAUUGAUUGGAAUCUUUUCCGGAUUCUGGUGCCCGCACCAAUUCUUCCGGGGUGGGAAGAAUUCGACUCUGUCGAACAGGGGUCAGUUUGGCUGUGGUACUUUUCUAGUAGAUCCGGGUUGAGUCUCUGUAGGUCCUCUCGAGUAAUCCAUGAAUUAUCAUAUUCUGGUCAACCCUCCCAGUGAACCAAAUAGCGUUGGUACCCUUUGUUCCGGAUGGUGAUAGCUUGAUCAUCCAAGACAUGUUCAACCCUAUCUCUCGAUUCUGGAAAUGUGGCUGGAGGGCACUCAGGUGUGGGUUCACUCUCAAUGGGAACAUGAUCAAAAGGCUCACUAGGUAUCAAUGUUGGUCCGUUAUACUCUAUAAGGUCUGAGAUGUUGAAGGUCAAGCUAAUACCAAAAUCAAGGGGUAAGUCAACCAUAUAAGCGUUAGGUUCAAUUUUCUUUAAUAUCCUAAAUGGACCUGCACUGCGGGCAUGCAAUUUUUUCAUAGUUCCCGGGGAAAACCUUUCAGGUUUAGUCUAAUCAUUACAUAGUCUCCUUCAAUGAAUUCUUUAGCCCGUUUGUGACGAUUAGCUGCUUGCGCAUAAGCUUUGUUACUCAUGUCAAUUUUCUUACUAAGUUCCUUAUGUAAAUCCCUGCCAUGUUGUGCAUAUGAUUUUGCUGUCUCUGAGACUCGUGAAUGUGAGGGUAAUGGAAUAAGAUCUACAGGUUUCCUAGGUUUAUAUCCAUGGACAAUCUCAAAGGGACUCUUUCCUAUGGAUCUAUUGACUGAGCUAUUAUAAGCGAAUUCAGCGCGUGAUAAUAAGAGAUCCCAGUUUCCUAGGUUGUCACUGACAAGGCAUCUCAAUAAGUUCCCUAGACUCCGAUUAACGACUUUGGUCUGAUCAUCAGUUUGAGGGUGGUAGGCAGUGAAGAAUUUGAGUUUGGUUCCUAGCAUAAGCCAAAGGGUCUUACAGAAAUAGCUAGUGAACUUAACGUCUCUAUCUGAUACGAUGGUCUUGGGUAAACCAUGUAGCCUAACCACUUCAUCUAGAAAAAGUUUAGCUAUUUUUGAGGCAUCAUAAGUCUGGGAACAAGGUAUGAAGUGUGCCAUUUUGGAGACUCGGUCUACCACGACAUAUACUGAAUCAUGUUUUCUCAGGGUUUUGGAUAAUCCUAACACAAAGUCCAUGCUAAUAUCUUGCCAAGGGCAUUCGGGGACUGGUAGGGAAGUGUAUAGACCGGUGUUUUGUUGUUGUUGCUUUGCUGUGGUGCAGGUUCGACAUCGGGCUACUAUUUGGGCAACAUUUUUUUUUAGACCUGGCCAAAAGAACUGGUCUUCGACUUCUAAGAUGGUUUUGUUCCUACCAAAGUGACCAGCUAGGCCUCCUGCAUGGAUUUCCCAAACUAGAAAGUCUCGGGUGGAGGUGCGGGGAAUGCACAACUUAUUUUCUUUGAAGAGGAAUCUGUCGUGAAUGGUAAAAUCGUGGAAUUGGCUCGAGGGUCCUUGACGGAUUGAUUGGUGGAUUUUCUUAAAGUCGGGGCAAUGUUCAUACUCCUUAAGCCUUUCAAAACCUAUGACUUCGGUACUAACAGAAGUGAGGAGCAUAGAUCGUCUACUAAGGACGUCGGCAACACGGUUUUCUUUUCCAGCCUUAUGUUUCAGGACGAAGGUAUAGGCCUGGAUGUACUCUACCCAUUUCGCAUGUCUAGGGUUCAACUUUUUCUGAGAGUUGAGGAAACGUAGGGCUUCAUGAUCGGAGUAUAGGACAAACUCUAGUGGCAGAAGGUAGUGUCUCCAAUACCUUAGGGCUUGGACCACUGCAUACAACUCUCUAUCGUAGGUAGAAUACCUUAGCUUGGCGUCGUUUAAUUUCUCACUAAAGAAUGCUAUUGGGUGGUUUUCUAGACUUAGAACGCCUCCAAUCCCGACUCCUAAUGCGUCACAGGCAACCUCGAAAACUUUGGAAAAGUCGGAUAAUCUCAAUAUAGGUGCUUGUGUCAUCUUGUCCUUAAUCUCUCUAAAGGCUUUUUCAGCUGCCUUGGUCCACUCAAAAUUUCCUCUCUUAAGGCAAUCAGUAAUGGGGGCAACAAUUGUGCUGAAUCCUCUAAUGAUUCUCCUGUAGAAUGUGGCUAGACCAUGAAAGCUAUGAACGUCAUGAAUGUUUUUGGGUACUGGCCACUCAAUUAUGGACUUGACUUUUUCGGGAUCGGCAGAUACUCCUUCAGUGGUCACGACAAAUCCUAAAAAAAUAGUCCUAUGUAUCAUGAAUUCACAUUUUUUUCGAUUAGCAUAGAGGCUAUCUUGUCUAAGUGAUUGACAAACUUGUCUAAGGUGAUUCAAAUGGUCAUCUUUUGUUUUGCUAUAUAUGAGAAUGUCAUCGAAAUAGAUCACUACAAACUUUCCAAUGAAUGUCCUUAAAACUUGGGUCAUGAUCCUCAUAAAGGUACUAGGUGCAUUGGAUAAACCGAAAGGCAUCACUACCCAUUCAAAUAAGCCGUCCUUAGUCUUAAAGGCGGUUUUCCAUUCAUCCUCCGGCCUAAUUCUUACUUGAUGAUAGCCACUCUUAAGAUCGAUUUUGGAGAAUACCGUGGCUCCGACCAUCAUAUCUAACAUGUCGUCUAGAUGGAGAAUAGAAAAAUGGUAUUUGAUGGUAAUCUUAUUGAUGGCACGACUAUCUACACACAUUCUCCAAGUGCCAUCUUUUUUAGGGGUCAGAAGGGCAGGUACUGCAUAAGGACUUAAACUCUUCCUAAUGAACCCUUUCCUAAGUAACUUGCCAACUUGCUUUUGCAAUUCUUGGUGCUCUGAAGGAUUCAUCCUAUAAUGGGGUAGAUUGGGCAAGGUGGCUCCUGGAACUAGGUCUAUGGCAUGCUAAAUGUCCCUUAAAAGUGGUAGGUUGUCAGGAAGAUCUUUAGGAAAUACAUCUUUGAACUCCUCUAAGUUUUCAACCACUUCUUGAGGGUGUGCUACUGGGAUUUGGUCCUGGGUCUCCUUAAUAGUCAACAUCCAAAUGGGUGAACCUUCAUUGAUCUCUUGCUCUAAUUUCUUAGCAUUCAUUUGGUUCAAUCCAGGUUUCUUUUCCUUCAGACUACUACUAGCUCCCCUCUUAACAUUGUCCUUAGGUGGGGUAAGGUGAACUACAAUUUUCUUUCCAUUAUGAUUGAAGGAACAUGAAUUUGAUCAUCCAAACAGGGUAGCAUCAUGAUCGUAUAGCCAUGGCCUGCCUAGGAUAAUGCUACUUACUCCCAUAGGAAGGACAUCACACCAUACCUUCUCCUGAUAGGAUUGGAAUUGUAUCUGGACUUGGCAUCUAAGUUUAAUGGGUAUUGAGGUCGAAUUUAUCCAAGAUAACUUAUAGGGAUUGGGAUGGGGCACGGUAGGCAACCCUAAACUCUUGACGGUGUUGGUUGAUAUGGCGUUGACACAGCUUCCACUAUCUAAGAUGAUUUUGCAGGCUUUUUCUCCUACUUUGAUAAAGUUUUGUAGGAUGUUGGUCCUACGCCAAUCUUCUUGUUCUUUAGCCUGGGUCAAUAUACAUCUCACAACUCCUAGAAAUUCAGACGUCUUAAUGAAUUCUUCCUCUUCUUCAUAUUCAUCUACCAAAUUGGUCUCUACUUCGUAGACUUCUUCUCCAUAAUUCUCUAGGGUCUCAGGAUCUUCUUCUUCUACUUCUCCUAUGUGUAACGCUCUAGUGGGGCAUUGGAUUGCAUAAUGUCCUAUUUUAUGACACCUAAAAUAAAGGACAUUGUUUUUCUUUCUACCUUCAGGGGCCUUUCCUUUGUCGUCCCUACGAGCCUGUAGAGUGAUAGGAUUGGGUCUGUGUGAUGGGUUUGGACUUGGGUUUGGCCUGCUUCUAGGGUUGCUAAUCCUAUUGGGUUCAGGUCGUCGAAAAAUGGGUCCCCUCUGGAAUCGUUCGCAGUCUCUGGCAAUCUGGUAGGCUUGGUCUAAAUCAUGAAUUUUUCUUAAGAACGAUUUCCUUUGAAUGUCCUCCUUAAGACCAGCUGUAAACCUAGAUAGGGUUACGGCUUCUGACUCGAUUAUGUUGCACCUCAUAGCGAACUCAUCAAAUUUGGCAAUGUACUCAGAUACAGUUUUCCCUCCUUGAUUUAAUCUUUGCCAUUGAUCUAGUAACCUCUGUUCGUAGGAUAAUGGGACGUAUUUCUCUCUUAGCUUAAUUUUCAUCUGUCUCCAUGUAUUGAUAGGUCCUUCUUCUCUUUGCCUAGUGAUCCUCUCAAUAUUUUUCCAGUAUAAUCUUGCAUGUCGUGUCAACCUAAGCUUGGCAAAUUUGAAUUUUCUUUCUUCCGACAUUUCAUACCACUCAAAAUAUUGAUCCAUGUCAUUUUUCCAAUCAAUGUAUACCUUAGGGUCUAGACUUCCUUCGAAGGAGGGUGCAUCAAGUCUGAUACUCCUNNNNNNNNNNNNNNNNNNNNNNNNNNNNNNNNNGGGUGUCAAUUCAGGUAGUUCAGGUCCCACGUGGGUCUGUUGAUUUUCCUCUAGGGUUCCUAGCCUCUCCUCAACUUGAUCAAACCUAUUGUUCAAUUGUUUGAACUGCUCAGUCAUAGUCCUUAGGAUGGUCUCAAGAUUGGGGUCCAUGGCUUUAAUGGGUUGUGUAUGUGAUGGGUUGUAGAGUGUUCCUGAUCUAGUUGUCAUACAAGGCUCAAGACAAAACAAAAUGACUAACCUAUGCUAGGGUUUGCUAAAUCUAAAUCAAAGACUUAUCUAAUCAAAAUUGGUUCACCACUUGUCCAGGCCAGUUGGACCAAGAGUUCGUGUAAUCGCUAUUAACCAUACUUAGCUGACACCAACCGCUUAACGAGGCUAGGCAGAUAAGAUGGUAGCCACGACCCUGAUCGAAACUUUUCUAGACAGCAAGGAAUUAGCCAAAUUCAAUUAGCCUAAAGACUCGUUGUAGUUUCUAAGUUAAGUUGGCUAGUUGAGUUUUAAAUUAGGCUUGGGUUCCAGAUUUAUGAGGGUGGUUGUUUUGGGCUAAGAAAAGGUGAUGAAAUCCUUCCCUUAUGUUGUAAUUAGAGUGCCCUUAAUAUGAUUUAUGAUGGAUGCAACUAUUUUAAAGGUCCACACAAGUUGAGAUUUAAAAUUUCAAAUUUCAAAUUACGAAUUUAAACUUUUGAAUUUUGAAUUUCAAAUUUGAAUUUUAGUUUUCAGCUUUUGAAUUUCAAAUUUCAAAUUUCAAGUUUAAAUUUCAAAUUUAAAUUUUGAAAUCUCAGAUUUUUUUUUUGGUUUCAAUUUAAGUCCCCACUUUUAAUUUCGAAUUUUGAAUCUCAAAUUUGGAUUUCAGAUCUGAUGUUUCAAAAUUUCAAGUUUUGAAAUUCGGAUUCACAAGUCAAAUUGGAAAUUUCAGAUUUGGAGCCCAAAUUUAGUUUUUCAAAUUUAACUUUGAAAUUGUUAACUUCAAAUCCUAAAUUUGUGGAGAUCAGAUCUCAACUUUAAUAACUAAAAUUUGGAAUUAAAAUUCAAAAUAUUCAGAUUUAAUUCAUAAACUUAAUAAGGCAUGCAAACUAGGAUUUUAGCAUCAAUGGAUUUCAGCAAAGGGCAGAAAUUUCAGCAAGUGUAGAAUUUCAGCAUAAUCAAUGUGCGUGUCCUAAUUAGCCUGCUCUGAUACCAAAAAUAAUGCGGGAUGAAUGCGAGGGAUUUGAGCAUAAGGGUUAUCAGUAAGUUAUGUUGAUUAACUAGCCUAAUUGUAAUUGGAAAUUCAGUCACAUAUGAGCUAAGAAAGCAUUAUCAUGAGCAUAGUAAUUUCAGGACUAGUUACCCGCAUGUACUAAUUCAUUUAGGACUUAGAGUAAUGGACUGUUGUGGUUGAGAAACCACUAGAUUAGGACGCUUUUUUUCAAUAAAUCAGACCUAGAGUUGAGGCUUACCAAACAUUGAACUUCUGAAAUUCUUCUGGAGGAGGAUCCUUGAUCUCACUCUCGAGGGUUGAUGAUUGGAUAACCAAACUUCAUCUUCCGUUGCAACAGGGCCCCCUUGCUAUUGGUUUGGAAGGAUAAUAGACCCAAUGACAUGGAGUACAUUAAGAACCUGCAAAGAAACAGGGAUUAGAGGUUUGGCGUGAGAGAGGAAUGGAAAUCACAAAAGAAAAGGGAGGCGAGAGGAGAUAGGGCUGCGGUGGAUGUGGAAGUGGCUUUAGGGCCUCACGCCCAACUUG